GAUGAACGCUGGCGGCGUGCCUAAUACAUGCAAGUCGAGCGAACGGACGAGAAGCUUGCUUCUCUGAUGUUAGCGGCGGACGGGCGAGUAACACGUGGAUAACCUACCUAUAAGACUGGGAUAACUUCGGGAAACCGGAGCUAAUACCGGAUAAUAUUUUGAACCGCAUGGUUCAAAAGUGAAAGACGGUCUUGCUGUCACUUAUAGAUGGAUCCGCGCUGCACUAGCUAGUUGGUAAGGUAACGGCUUACCAAGGCAACGAUGCAUAGCCGACCUGAGAGGGUGAUCGGGCACACUGGAACUGAGACACGGUCCAGACUCCUACGGGAGGCAGCAGUAGGGAAUCUUCCGCAAUGGGCGAAAGCCUGACGGAGCAACGCCGGGUGAGUGAUGAAGGUCUUCGGAUCGUAAAACUCUGUUAUUAGGGAAGAACAUAUGUGUAAGUAACUGUGCACAUCUUGACGGUACCUAAUCAGAAAGCCACGGCUAACUACGUG
rnacentral:rRNA from 1 species